rnacentral:rRNA from 1 species
UACAGAGGGUGCGAGCGUUAAUCGGAAUUACUGGGCGUAAAGCGCACGUAGGUGGCGACGUAAGUCGGGUGUGAAAGCCCCGGGCUCAACCUGGGAAUUGCAUUCGAGACUGCAUUGCUGGAGUACGGAAGAGGAGGGCGGAAUUCCCGGUGUAGCGGUGAAAUGCGUAGAUAUCGGGAGGAACAUCAGUGGCGAAGGCGGCCCUCUGGUCCAGUACGUGACACUCAAGUGCGAAAGCGUGGGGAGCAAACAGG